ensembl:rRNA 5S_rRNA 5S ribosomal RNA
AUCUACGGCCAUACCAUUCUGAUCCCUGAAGAUAAGCAGAGUCGGGCCUGGUCAGUACUUGAAUGGGUGACCACCUGGGAAUAUCAGGUAGGCGUUU